GUCUUCGUGGCUUAGUCGGGAAAACACCCGACAAUGGUGCGUUAGGAUUCAGGUUCGAUCCCCGGUGAAGGCA